CAGAUAUUCAGAGAUGAACUUUAACAAGUGAUUGGUUAUUUAAGAUGGAGCCUGCCUCAGUAAACUGAUAAAGACCUUUCUUCGAGCCCCUUUAUGAUGUCCAGCUUAUGACUUGUACCAGUUUGGGACUUGAUUAAUUCCUGGAUAUUGUAAGUAAAUCAUGCUUCAUCCCUAGUUAAUGCUCUGCUUGAUCAACAAAAA